rnacentral:rRNA from 1 species
CGCGUAGGCGGUUCCACAAGUCAGGGGUGAAAUCCAGCGGCUCAACUGCUGGCCUGCCUUUGAAACUGUGGAACUUGAGUCCGUGAGAGGAAAGCGGAAUUCCUGGUGUAUCGGUGAAAUGAGUUGAUAUCAGGAGGAACACCGGUGGCGAAGGCGGCUUUCUGGUGCGGUACUGACGCUGAGGUGCGAAAGCAGUGGGGAGCAAACG